GACGAACGCUGGCGGCGUGCUUAACACAUGCAAGUCGAACGGAAAGGCCCUGCUGUUGUGGGGUGCUCGAGUGGCGAACGGGUGAGUAACACGUGAGUAACCUGCCCUUGACUUUGGGAUAACUUCAGGAAACUGGGGCUAAUACCGGAUAGGAGCUCCUGCUGCAUGGUGGGGGUUGGAAAGUUUCGGCGGUUGGGGAUGGACUCGCGGCUUAUCAGCUUGUUGGUGGGGUAGUGGCUUACCAAGGCUUUGACGGGUAGCCGGCCUGAGAGGGUGACCGGCCACAUUGGGACUGAGAUACGGCCCAGACUCCUACGGGAGGCAGCAGUGGGGAGUAUUACACAAUAGGCGGGAGCCUGAUGCGGCAACGCCGCGUGCGGGAUGACGGCCUUCGGGUUGUAAACCGCUUUCGCCUGUGACGAAGCGUGAGUGACGGUAAUGGGUAAAGAAGCACCGGCUAACUACGUG
rnacentral:rRNA from 1 species